rfam:Dipodomys ordii contig_51170, whole genome shotgun sequence.
GUGGCUGGCUCAGUUGUAGAGUGCUUGUCUUGUAUGCAUGAGGCCUUGGGUUCGAUUCCUCAGCACCACA